rnacentral:rRNA from 1 species
GUCAAGAUAUUAAGGGCACACGGUGGAUGCCUUGGCACCAGGAGUCGAUGAAGGACGUGGACGGCUGCGAUAAGCCACGGUGAGGCGCUGAACAGCCUUUGACCCGUGGAUCUCCGAAUGGGAAAACCCGGCGCCGGUAAUGCGGCGUCAUCCAGGGCUGAAUACAUAGGUUCUGGAAGGUAAGCGGGCGAACUGAAACAUCUCAUUAGCCCGACGAAGAGAAAUCAACCGAGACUCCCCGAGUAGUGGCGAGCGAAAGGGGAUCAGCCCAAACCGAGCGGGUGCAAGCGAGCACGCGUUGCCUGUUCGGGGUUGUAGGACUUGUGUCCGGACCGUGCUCGGUCCGGCGGCAGUUACCAAGUCAGGUGCUAGUCGAAGCGAGUGGAACCUCGCACCACAGAGGGCAAUCGUCCCGUAGACGAAAGCGCACUGACCUGCCGAUCGAGUUCCUGAGUAGGACCGCUCCCGUGAAACGCGGUUCGAAUCUGGGGGGACCACCCUCCAAGGCUAAGUACUCCCUGGUGACCGAUAGUGAACUAGUACCGUGAGGGAAAGGUGAAAAGCACCCCUGAAGGGGAGUGAAAUAGUACCUGAAACCGCGUGCCUACAAGUGGUCGGAGCCCUUCGGGGUGACGGCGUACUUUUUGCAUAACGGGCCGGCGAGUUACGCGUACGUGGCAAGGUUAAGCGAUGAGCGGAGCCGCAGCGAAAGCGAGUCUGAACAGGGCGAAUCAGUCGCGUACGGUAGACCCGAAACCUGGCGAGCUAUCCAUGGGCAGGCUGAAGCGGAGGUAAGACUUCGUGGAGGGCCGAACCGACCUAGGUUAAAAACUGGGCGGAUGACCUGUGGAUCGGAGUGAAAGGCUAAUCAAGCCAGGAGAUAUCUGGUUCUCUCCGAAAUAUAUUUAGGUAUAGCCUCGAGCAAUAUGCGUCAUGGCCGUAGAGCACUGCUUGGACUAGGGGCCCUACCAGGUUACCGACUUCAGGCAAACUCCGAAGACUGUGACGUUUAACUCGGGAGUCAGUGUGCGGGGGAUAAACUUCGUACGCGAGAGGGGAACAACCCAGAUCACCAGCUAAGGACCCUAAGUGGUGGCUAAGUGGAGAACGAUGUCCGAAUGCCUAGACAACCAAGAGGUUGGCUUAGAAGCAGCCAUUCCUUGAAAGAGUGCGUAACAGCUCACUGGUCAAGUGUUCGGGCGCGGAGAAUUCAACGGGGCUCAAGCCACCCUCCGAAGCUGUGAACUCAACUUUGUUGAGUGGUAGGAGAGCGUUCCGAUCUGAGUGAAGCGGUGGCGGAAGCCGCCGUGGACGGAUCAGAAGUGAGAAUGCCGGCAUGAGUAACGAGAAAGUGGUGAGAAUCCACUUCACCGAUUGUCCAAGGUUUCCUGAGUAAAGUUCGUCUGCUCAGGGUUAGUCGGGACCUAAGGCGAGGCCGAAAGGCGUAGUCGAUGGCCAACAGGUUGAUAUUCCUGUACCACGUUUCACCCGCUAUGACCGAUGGGGUGACGGGGAAGGCUAAGGGAACCCAGGCGAUGGUCGCCCUGGGGCAAGCACGUAGCCAGUCGCGGCAGGCAAACCCGCCGCGGCGUUCUGACGCGAGGUGCGAUGCCAGCUGGCUUUAUUGCCGGCCAGUCCCUGAAGCCAUGCCUCCGAGAAAAACCUCUAGGCAGGAUGCGACGUGCCCGUACCUACAACCGACACAGGUGGACAGGUAGAGAAUACUGAGGUGAGCGAGCUAACCAUCGUUAAGGAACUCGGCAAAUUCGCCCCGUAAGUUCGCGAGAAGGGGCGCCCCGGUAGGGUGAAGUCCAUACGGAUGGAGCCCGAGGGGGCCGCAGUGAAAAGGUCCAACCGACUGUUUACCAAAAACACAGGCCUCUGCUAAGUCGCAAGACGACGUAUAGGGGCUGACGCCUGCCCGGUGCCGGAAGGUUACGCGGAAUUGUUAGCGGCUUCGGCUGCGAAGCAGUGAAGCUAAGCCCCGGUAAACGGCGGCCGUAACUAUAACGGUCCUAAGGUAGCGAAAUUCCUUGUCGGGUAAGUUCCGACCUGCACGAAUGGCGCAACGAGUUGGACGCUGUCUCAACGAUGGGCUCGGUGAAAUUAGAGUCUCGGUGAAGAUACCGAGUACCCGCAGAAAGACGGAAAGACCCCGUGAACCUUUACUGCAACUUGAUAUUGGAGUUCGGAGUAUCUCGCUCAGGAUAGGUGGGAGGCUUUGAACCUGUGGCUUUGGCCGCAGGGGAGCCACCCUUGAGAUACCACCCUUGGUGUUUUGGGCUUCUAACUCGCUGCCGUCAACCGGGGCGGGAACAGUGUCAGGUGGGCAGUUUGACUGGGGCGGUCGCCUCCUAAAAUGUAACGGAGGCGCCCAAAGGUUCCCUCAGCACGGUUGGAAAUCGUGCGCAGAGUGUAAAGGCAACAAGGGAGCUUGACUGCGAGACCGACGGGUCGAGCAGGAACGAAAGUUGGGCUUAGUGAUCCGGCCGUAGAAAGUGGAAUUGCGGUCGCUCAACGGAUAAAAGGUACUCCGGGGAUAACAGGCUUAUCGCGCCCAAGAGUCCAUAUCGACGGCGCGGUUUGGCACCUCGAUGUCGGCUCGUCGCAUCCUGGGGCUGGAGCAGGUCCCAAGGGUUGGGCUGUUCGCCCAUUAAAGCGGCACGCGAGCUGGGUUCAGAACGUCGUGAGACAGUUCGGUCCCUAUCUUCUGUGGGCGUUGGAGAGUUGAGGGGAUUCGUCCCUAGUACGAGAGGACCGGGAUGAACGCGCCUCUGGUGUACCAGUUGUCCUGCCAAGGGCACCGCUGGUUAGCUACGCGCGGCAUGGAUAACCGCUGAAAGCAUCUAAGCGGGAAGCCUUCCUCGAGAUGAGCUCUCCCAUCCCCUAGAGGGAGUAAGGCCCCUGGUAGACCACCAGGUUGAUAGGCCGGCUGUGCAACUGCAGCAAUGCAGUCAGCAGACCGGUACUAAUGGGCCGAGGGCUUGACGGA